UCUGGUGUCCAGGCCAAGAUACAUAGGCAGCCCGGAGUUGGGAGAUGCACCAGCGUCGCAUAAGUCUGGUGUGUGCGAACAUUUUGGAUUUAGAAAACGGUAGAUAGAACUGCGACUGUGUGCAGGCGUUGUGC